CCCCACCACCACUUCAGCCUUCACCUCACCCCUACUCUCUGAUUCUCUCUUCUCUCACCAGCCAAGUCUCUCUCUCUCUCUCUCGCUCGCUCUGUUUAUUCCCGCCAUCGUGCACCCUCUCCGUGUUGCUCUCUCUCUCUUUGGUCUGGUUAUUGCCGCCGUCGCCGUAAAUCAGAGCUUUGGAAAUGGAGAGAUCGUAUCAGGUGGAGGUGGGAAGUCUCGAAGCUUCACUGCUUCAAAUGAUCAAUGAUCACAAUCAUGCCUCUGUUGAGCUUCGUGAAAACACUGAGAAAGCCAAGAAAGAAGCUAUUGGGAAGGCAAUGCAUGUAUCAGAUCUGUUGGUAAAUGCAGUUAAUGGGGGUGUUCAAGAGGUCUUUAUAAAUGAGAAGCGAAUAGAAAUGGAAAUUAGAGCAUUGGCAGCUACUAUUAUGCGAUUCUCGAAGCAAACUGAUCAGUGGCUCACGGCUUCUCAUGCUAUCAAUAAUGCUGUGAAGGAAAUUGGAGAUUUUGAGAACUGGAUGAAGACAAUGGAGCUUGAUUGUAAAAGCAUUAGUGCUGCAAUCUGUAACAUCCUUCGAGCUUGAUCUGAUGGCCAAAUCUGCACUAAGCGCUUCAUACAUUUCCAUCCUCCCAACGCAAUGAAGAGCCAUCUGGACUAAGGAGACGGAGGCUGUCUUCAUUGGUACCAUUUAUAAUGAGGUAGUGAAGGGUAGUAUCCGAGGGUUCAAUUUUUGUCCCUCACAGUGGACCUUCAUUCGAGGAAGGAUGGCAUCAAUGUGUCCUACUCAUUCGUACUCUGUUAAACAACUUCAGGUUAAACACCUUAGGCUUGAGCAAAAAUGGAAAAGAAAUAAUAUCAAUUAUUGUGGUCGCACACCAGCUUCAGUGGGACGAUGAAAUAACUUAGUUACCAGGAUGCUUCAUUGAGGAGAAAAGAAUGUCCACACUUUCGAGGGUUGACAGUCAUAUUUGCACCCACCCAGCCACUAGGGGAAUGGAGAGGGCAUUGACACAAGAUCUAUGUCGCGGUCAGAGGGACAAGGUCUUAUGGAAAUAUAGUACAUCUUAAUUGACAAUUUGCCGAGUAGAUGUUUUGUUUUCACAUGUUUUUAUUCAUGAUGUCUGUAUUAUGUAAUUCAUUUAUGAUGUGUGCAAAGAAUUGUAAUUAUUGUAGACUAGUUACUUGUAUUUUGUUACUAAAUGUUUUUAAAAUUGCACAGUUUCGGUGUUGCAAUUGUUCUAGAUGCUACUUGGAAACAGGGUUAUCUGUUGUAUAUUUUCCGAGAUGCUGUCAGAUUUUAAUCGAAAAUGUAUUUGGCUAGUAUAUGAUGUUUUAUGGAGUUGAAAAA